rnacentral:rRNA from 1 species
AUUGAACGCUGGCGGCGAGCUUUACACAUGCAAGUCGGACGAGUGGCGGACGGGUGAGUAACGCCUCGGAACCUGCCUAGUAGUGGGGGAUAACUGUCCGAAAGGACAGCUAAUACCGCAUACUCUCCGAUGUGCCCAUGUGGGAUUAGCUGGUGGGCGGGGUAAAGGCUCACCAAGGCGACGAUCAGUAGCUGGUCUGAGAGGAUGACCCGCCACACUGGAACUGAGACACGGUCCAGAGUCCUACGGGAGGCAGCAGUGGGGAAUUUUGGACAAUGGGCGCAAGCCUGAUGCAGCCAUGCCGCGUGUCUGAAGAAGGCCUUCGGGUUGUAAAGGACUUUUGUCGGGGAAGCGUUACCUGAAGAAUAAGCACCGGCUAACUACGUGCCAGCAGCCGCGGUAAUAC